UGCUGCCACCGCCGCAGCCGUAGCUCCUCCUUUCCCUCCUCUUCUUCUCCUCUUCUUCUUCCCUCCUCCUCCCCGGCAUCACACACACCCUCUCCUCUAUUUCCUCUGCAGGAAACACAGGUAUUACAACCUCUUCUUCUUCUUCUCCUCUUCGAACGCCCCACACCUCUCCUCUGUUUCCACCUGCAGGAAACAGAGGUGCAGUAGCCCUAGCUGCUUCCACCUCUCGCUCCUCUCCCUCUUCCCUCUCUUCUCCCUCUUCUUCUCCUCUUCCCUUUUCCUCCCCAACGCCACACACCUCCUCGCUGCAGCCUUGCCGCAGCUAUCCUCCUCUCUUCUUCUUCUUCUUCUUCUUCUUCUUCUUCUUCUCUUCUUCUCCCCACGCCCCACCGCUCAACAGAGAGAGCGUGGGAGGCGGUGGGAUAAAACCGAAAUUUUUGGUUUUCUUUAUUUUUUUCUUUUUGCAACUUAACAGUUUAGUCCUUGAAAUUUCUAUAUUUACAUAUAGGUCCUCCAAUUUACAUAUA
rnacentral:lncRNA from 1 species